rnacentral:rRNA from 1 species
UACGUAGGGUGCGAGCGUUGUCCGGAAUUACUGGGCGUAAAGAGUUCGUAGGCGGUUUGUCGCGUCGUUCGUGAAACUUGGGCUAACUCCAGCGUGCGGGCGAUGACGGCAGACUUGAGUACUACAGGGAGACGUGGAAUUCCUGGUGUAGCGGUGAAAUGCGCAGAUAUCAGGAGGAACACCGGUGGCGAAGGCGGGUCUCGUGGGUAGUAACUGACGCUGAGGAACGAAGCGUGGGAGCGAACAGG